UGACCUCAAAUCAGGUAGGACUACCCGCUGAACUUAAGCAUAUCAAUAAGCGGAGGAAAAGAAACUAACAAGGAUUCCCUUAGUAGCGGCGAGCGAAGCGGGAUGAGCUCAAAUUUGAAAUCUGGCGUCUUUCAGGCGUCCGAGUUGUAAUCUAUAGAAGCGUUUUCUGUGCUGGACCAUGUCCAAGUCCCUUGGAACAGGGUAUCAAAGAGGGUGACAAUCCCGUACUUGACAUGACCACCAGUGCUCUGUGAUACGUUUUCGACGAGUCGAGUUGUUUGGGAAUGCAGCUCAAAAUGGGUGGUAAAUUCCAUCUAAAGCUAAAUAUUGGCGAGAGACCGAUAGCGAACAAGUACCGUGAGGGAAAGAUGAAAAGCACUUUGGAAAGAGAGUUAAACAGUACGUGAAAUUGUUGAAAGGGAAACGAUUGAAGUCAGUCGUGUCUAUUGGUUUCAGCCGGUUCUGCCGGUGCAUUACCUUUAGACGGGUCAACAUCAGUUUUGGACGGCACAUAAGAGCAGUUUGAAUGUAUCACCUCCGGGUGUGUUAUAGCUUACUGUUGCAUAUGCUGUCCGAGACUGAGGACUGCAGCUCGCCUUUUAGGCCGGGGUUCGCCCACGUUCGAGCUUAGGAUGUUGACAUAAUGGCUUUAAACGACCCGUCUUGAAACACGGACC
rnacentral:rRNA from 1 species